rnacentral:misc_RNA from 1 species
AGCAGCCGCGGUAAUUCCAGCUCCAAUAGCGUAUAUUAAAGUUGUUGCAGUUAAAAAGCUCGUAGUUGAAUUUCGGGAUUAAUAUGUUGGUCGUGCCUUGGUACGUACUGGCAUUAUUGAUUCCUACCUUCUGAAGAACCUCGAUGUCAUUAAUUUGGUGUCUUGGGGAAUCAGGACCGUUACUUUGAAAAAAUUAGAGUGUUUAAAGCAGGCUCGCGCUUGAAUACAUUAGCAUGGAAUAAUGAAAUAGGACGUUUGAUUCUAUUUUGUUGGUUUCUAGGAUCGACGUAAUGAUUAAUAGGGAUAGUUGGGGGCAUUAGUAUUCAAUUGUCAGAGGUGAAAUUCUUGGAUUUAUUGAAGACUGACUACUGCGAAAGCAUUUGCCAAGGAUGUUUUCAUUAAUCAAGAACGAAAGUUAGGGGAUCGAAGACGAUCAGAUACCGUCGUAGUCUUAACCAUAAACUAUGCCGACUAGGGAUCGGAUGAUGUUAAUUUUAAUGACUCAUUCGG